rnacentral:lncRNA from 1 species
CAACUCCUUUUCUUCUCUCUCUCUCUCUCUCCUUCUCUCUGUCUCUCGCUCUAUCAAGGAACAGGCCCAAUUCUACCCUGAGCCCUUCCCUCAAGUCUACCAGCUUGACGCUACUUGGUACUAUUUCCCACAAAACAUGCAGUACCCAUCUUUCCUGCCAUCCCAAGACAUCGCUAAGCAAACUUCCGCUGAGAACAAUGAGAAAACUAAUGUUAUGGCACAGUGGUGAAGAAUUAAGUCCAUUCUCAGGAACUCCACAAUUAUGACCCUUGAUGUGGCUGAAAAUUCCAUUCUCUGAAUUUCUCCUCUUUGACUGUUAUUUUAGAAUAGGAAAAUCCCAUUUUAAUGGCAGUCUUUCUUCUUGAGUUAUCUACUGUGUAUUAGAUAGCAUAUCAUUCUUUUCCUUAGCUAAGUUUCCCUAGACAGUUUAUUAUCUAAAUUCCACUUGUGGUAUGCCAGUAUGGAGGGCACCUAAACAGAGAGUAUUUGAAGUCUUUACUAAGUUUCUAUAACGGAAAUUUUGUUUAAAAAGUCUUUGAAUUGCUUCCUCUGUAAAUGUCAUCAUUUCAAAUAAUUGUGUGCAGUGACUGAGAUGUAUUUUUUCUUCUUUUCAAUAAAUUACAUUGUAAG